GGUCAUGCUGAAGGCCUGUUUCCUCGGCUACAUGCAGGGGACUGGUUCCUUGUUCUUCUGCCUAGGGGAAAGUCCCCAGACCUCAGGCAGAGAGUGUGGCGUGCAUGCGCACGUGGACAUCCUUCCAUUUCUCACUCUUAAAACCCACCAAGAAGCGAAUCUCGCCAAGCGGAGUGGUGCGGAGGCAUCGUCUGUCAGCUCCACUAGUUAAGCAGGCAGUGAGUGUCUUAGCGCUCCAACCACAUGGGGCUCAUUCUCAGCGCGGC
rnacentral:RNase_MRP_RNA from 13 species